UACGGAGGGAGCUAGCGUUGUUCGGAAUUACUGGGCGUAAAGCGCACGUAGGCGGCUUUGUAAGUUAGAGGUGAAAGCCCGGAGCUCAACUCCGGAACUGCCUUUAAGACUGCAUCGCUUGAAUCCAGGAGAGGUGAGUGGAAUUCCGAGUGUAGAGGUGAAAUUCGUAGAUAUUCGGAAGAACACCAGUGGCGAAGGCGGCUCACUGGUCCGGUACUGACGCUGAGGUGCGAAAGCGUGGGGAGCAAACAGG
rnacentral:rRNA from 1 species